rnacentral:rRNA from 1 species
UACAGAGGGUGCAAGCGUUGUUCGGAAUUAUUGGGCGUAAAGCGCACGUAGGCGGCUCUGCAAGUCGGAUGUGAAAUCCCUCGGCUCAACCAAGGAAGUGCAUCCGAAACUGCGGAGCUUGAGUACUUAAGAGGAUCGCGGAAUUCCCGGUGUAGAGGUGAAAUUCGUAGAUAUCGGGAGGAACACCAGUGGCGAAGGCGGCGAUCUGGGAAGAUACUGACGCUGAGGAGCGAAAGCGUGGGGAGCGAACAGG